rnacentral:rRNA from 1 species
UACGGAGGGGGGCUAGCGUUGUUCGGAAUUACUGGGCGUAAAGCGCGUGUAGGCGGCCAGGUAGGUCCGAUGUGAAAUCUGGAGGCUCAACCUCCAGCGGUCAUUGGAAACCAUCUGGCUAGAGUCCGGAAGAGGAGAGUGGAAUUCCUGGUGUAGCGGUGAAAUGCGCAGAUAUCAGGAAGAACACCCGUGGCUAAGGCGGUUCUCUAGUACGGUACUGACGCUGAGGAGCGAAAGCGUGGGGAGCGAACAGG